rnacentral:rRNA from 1 species
UUUUGACCUCGGAUCAU